AUGUAUUAUAAUGAUGUUGACUUUACUAGGGUGGGAAAUUUGGAAGACACUAUGAUGGUUGGUGAGGACAAAAGGAAAGGGAUAGAGGCGGUGGGUGAGUACAACUUCCCAAAGAGGCUGCAUGUACUUGCCGUUGAUGACCACCUUGUCUUCCUAAACAUCCUAGAGGCCCUCUUGCGCAACUGCAAAUACCAUCGUGAGCAUCUCAAUCGCCACCCUUGCUCUAAUCCAUUAGAAUUGAGGUUGUAUGAGUUGUUCUCUAUUAAUAAUGCUUCUUGCUUAGUUUCAUUUUGUGGAAACAAAAUUAUGUAG
rnacentral:rRNA from 1 species